GGGGAAUAUUGCACAAUGGGCGCAAGCCUGAUGCAGCCAUGCCGCGUGUAUGAAGAAGGCCUUCGGGUUGUAAAGUACUUUCAGCAGUGAGGAAGGUGGGUAUGUUAAUAGCAUAUUCAUUUGACGUUAGCUGCAGAAGAAGCACCGGCUAACUCCGUGCCAGCAGCCGCGGUAAUACGGAGGGUGCGAGCGUUAAUCGGAAUUACUGGGCGUAAAGCGCAUGCAGGUGGUUUGUUAAGUCAGAUGUGAAAGCCCGGGGCUCAACCUCGGAAUUGCAUUUGAAACUGGCAAACUAGAGUACUGUAGAGGGGGUAGAAUUUCAGGUGUAGCGGUGAAAUGCGUAGAGAUCUGAAGGAAUACCGGUGGCGAAGGCGGCCCCCUGGACAGAUACUGACACUCAGAUGCGAAAGCGUGGGGAGCAAACAGGAUUAGAUACCCUGGUAG
rnacentral:rRNA from 1 species